rnacentral:rRNA from 1 species
AUUGAACGCUGGCGGCAUGCCUUACACAUGCAAGUCGAACGGCAGCACGGGGGCAACCCUGGUGGCGAGUGGCGAACGGGUGAGUAACGCAUCGGAACGUGCCCAGUAGUGGGGGAUAACUAGUCGAAAGAUUAGCUAAUACCGCAUACGACCUAUGGGUGAAAGCGGGGGACCUUUACCGGCCUCGCGCUAUCGGAGCGGCCGAUGUCUGAUUAGCUAGUUGGCGGGGUAAAAGCCCACCAAGGCGACGAUCAGUAGCUGGUCUGAGAGGACGACCAGCCACACUGGGACUGAGACACGGCCCAGACUCCUACGGGAGGCAGCAGUGGGGAAUUUUGGACAAUGGGCGCAAGCCUGAUCCAGCCAUGCCGCGUGCGGGAAGAAGG